rnacentral:misc_RNA from 1 species
AUGAAGAACGCAGCGAAAUGCGAUAAGUAGUGUGAAUUGCAGAAUUCAGUGAAUCAUCGAAUCUUUGAACGCACAUUGCGCCCUUUGGUAUUCCUUAGGGCAUGCCUGUUCGAGCGUCAUUUAAACCUUCAAGCUAAGCUUGGUGUUGGGUGACUGUCCGCUUCACUGCGGACUCGCCUCAAAAUUAUUGGCGGCCGGUACAUUGGCUUCGAGCGCAGCAGAAACGCGAACUCGGGCCCGUCGUAUUGGCUCCCAGAAGCUAUCUUCACAAUUUUGACCUCGGAUCAGGUAGGGAUACCCGCUGAACUUAAGCAUAUCAAUAAGCGGAGGA